rnacentral:rRNA from 1 species
GAACGCUUCACCGGUUUCGGCCGGUGGGGAGUGGCGCACGGGUGAGUAGCGCGUGGGAACCUGCCCUGUUGUGGGGGAUAACCGAGGGAAACUUCGGCUAAUACCGCAUGCGCCCCGGGGCAACUCGGGGGAAAGAUUUAUCGCAGCAGGAGGGGCCCGCGUCGGAUUAGGUAGUUGGUGGGGUAAUGGCCUACCAAGCCGGUGAUCCGUAGCUGGUCUGAGAGGAUGAUCAGCCACACUGGGACUGAGACACGGCCCAGACUCCUACGGGAGGCAGCAGUGGGGAAUAUUGGACAAUGGGCGCAAGCCUGAUCCAGCAAUGCCGCGUGAGUGAUGAAGGCCUUAGGGUUGUAAAGCUCUUUCGGCGGGGACGAUGAUGACGGUACCCGCAGAAGAAGCCCCGGCUAACUUCGUG